rnacentral:rRNA from 1 species
GUCUACGGCCAUACCACCCUGAACGCGCCCGAUCUCGUCUGAUCUCGGAAGCUAAGCAGGUUCGGGCCUGGUUAGUAAUUGGAUGGGAGAAAAUUACCUGGAAAUGAAAUUU